AAUAGAGUAAAAUUGAUGGAGGAUUAACUGAAAAUAAUUUUGAAAAAAUGGUGAAAAAUUAAGUUAUGAUGGUAUUUUCGAAAGAAAAAUCAGAAAUCGGGAGUUCAAAACGUAAUUUUAAAAAAUUUACCACGUUAGACACCUGGUCAGCAGCCCCGACCAACCAGGAUGUGCCAAGUGGCAGAGGCACUGACGCGGGAGGCCACGCGGGGGGAGCCACGUAGGCGAUCUACGUGCACACGAUCGAACAACUGAGGUCUGUUCCCUCGCGCACGGACGGUCUGGAUGCGCUCCUUUCCAAACGAAAUAGAAUGGCUAUAUUAAAAGCGAUUGGACGACCCAGAGUGAAUCGCGAUGGACGGUCCAGAUUAGAUCGCGAUGAACGACCUAGAUUCAUUCCCUAUUUAAUCGCGAUCGGACGGUACAUAUUAAAUGCGAUGAACGGUCCAGAUCAAAAGAGGAUGGGUAUAAAUAACCCCCAU
rnacentral:lncRNA from 1 species